GUUUUUUUGCAUAUCCUGCA
rnacentral:miRNA from 1 species